GACGAACGCUGGCGGCGUGCUUAACACAUGCAAGUCGAACGAAGUGGCGAACGGGUGAGUAAUACGUGGGUAACCUGCCCUCCGUUUUGGGAUAAGCCUUGGAAACGGGGUCUAAUACCGAAUAAGGGGGAUGGGCUCGCGGCCUAUCAGCUGGUUGGGGGGGUGAUGGCCUACCAAGGCGGUGACGGGUACCCGGCCUGAGAGGGUGACGGGCAACCUUGGGACUGAGACACGGCCCAGACGCCUACGGGAGGAAGCAGUGGGGAAUCGUCCGCAAUGGACGAAAGUCUGACGGAGCAACGCGGCGUGAGUGAUGACGGCCUUCGGGUUGUAAAGCUCUGUUAAUCGGGACGCGGUACCGGAAUAGAAAGCCACGGCUAACUACGUGCCAGCCGCCGCGGUAAUC
rnacentral:rRNA from 1 species